rnacentral:lncRNA from 1 species
UCUCUCUGAUGCCAUGGCAACCAGAGGGAACCGCGAAGUCCAACAAUGGUAUAAAAUGUGCUUCAAGUGUGGAUUCUCCAAUGUGAACUGGUUGCAUUGAAGGCCACAAUUAACAGCCCUUUGCAAUGUGACCUUGCAGAUUCUUCCAUCAAGAAAUUAGCCCUGAGCUAACAUAUGCCGCCAAUCCUCCUCUUUUUGCUGAAGAAGACUGGCCCUGAGCUAACAUCCGUGCCCAUCCUCCUCUACUUUAUAUGUGGGAUGCCUGUCACAGUCUGGCUUGACAAGGAGUGCGUAGGUCUGCACCCGAGAUCUGAACCGGUGAACCACAGGGUAACGAAUCAGACUGCGUGAACCCAACUGCUACGCCACUGGGCCGGCCCCUUGAGUUAUUUUUAUGGAGCAGGAAGCAACCUGUUUUAAAGUCCGAAGAUUCAAAGGAUGCUGAUAAAGUUAUGGAUAAUUAAAUCACAAUAGGUUAAUGAAGAUUAACGAAAAUGUUUAGAUGUCUGAGGUCUAUUCUUAACCUUUGAGGAUGACAUUGAACAGCAGCCACUUCCCCUCUGGAGCAAAGCUGCAAGUUGCCUUCCCAGCAUCCACCCUCCUGCUUUCCUU